CCUACGGGUGGCAGCAGUGAGGAAUAUUGGUCAAUGGCCGUAAGCCUGAACCAGCCAAGUCGCGUGAAGGAUGAAGGAUCUAUGGUUUGUAAACUUCUUUUAUAGGGGAAUAAAGGUAUCCACGUGUGGAUAUUUGCAUGUACCCUAUGAAUAAGCAUCGGCUAACUCCGUGCCAGCAGCCGCGGUAAUACGGAGUAUGCGAGCGUUAUCCGGAUUUAUUGGGUGUAAAGGGUGCGUAGGUUGUUUGUUAAGUCAGAUGUGAAAGUUUGUGGCUCAACCAUAAAAUUGCGGUUGAAACUGGAAGACUGGAGUGUGUGUGAGGUAGGUGGAAUGCGUGGUGUAGGGGUGAAAUGCAUAGAGAUCACGCAGAAUUCCGAUUGCGAAGGCAGCUUACUAAGACAUAACUGACACUGAAGCACGAAAGCGUGGGGAUCAAACAGGAGUAGAUACCCUAGUAGUC
rnacentral:rRNA from 1 species